AAUCAACGCUGGCGGCGUGCCUAACACAUGCAAGUCGAACGCGAAAGCCCCGCAAGGGGUAAGUAGAGUGGCAAACGGGUGAGUAACACGUGGGUGACCUGCCUUCGAGUGGGGGAUAACGUCCCGAAAGGGACGCUAAUACCGCAUGACAUCCUGCUUUUGAAAAAGCGGAGAUCAAAGCUGGGGAUCGCAAGACCUAGCGCUUGAAGAGGGGCCCGCGCCUGAUUAGCUAGUUGGUGAGGUAACGGCUCACCAAGGCGACGAUCAGUAUCCGGCCUGAGAGAGCGGACGGACACACUGGGACUGAGACACGGCCCAGACUCCUACGGGAGGCAGCAGUGGGGAAUUGUUCGCAAUGGGCGCAAGCCUGACGACGCAACGCCGCGUGGAGGACGAAGAUCUUCGGGUCGUAAACUCCUGUCGAGCGGGACGAACGCUUCGCGGAUGAAUAAUCCGCGGAAUUGACGGUACCGCUAAAGGAAGCCCCGGCUAACUCCGUG
rnacentral:rRNA from 1 species